UCUACCUUCCCUCCCGGAUCUUCCUCCUGUCGUACUACUCUUUCAACUGUAAAAAUGGAAAGUGUCCGUUUCAAGUGACGAUGAACAACCGUUCAUGCACGGCUAUCUUCUGCAAGAUUAAACGCAGGCACUUCCAUUGGAAAUUCUUAAAGUCAACGGGAAACUUCUAAAGAGGCACCAACGCCCAAGACUUGGGGCAAUGGAGGCCAUGGCGUGAAUUCCAGGCCUGCAGUGAAGAUUCAUAACGGCGCCGCUGUAGACAUCCUUCGUUUGUUAUUGUCACAUUAUUGGCUUAAAAAGGUUACGCCCAGUUCUUGGAACAAACUUUGCAUCUACAGGUGUGUCAACAGUAGGCCUCCUUCAAAUCAGUUGAGUAUCUUCUACUACACGUAUGUUCCCACUGGCCUAGGUGUAACAGCGUCUGAUUUGAAGUAGCAAGGAAUCAACCACAAGGGAAA